UUGCCAAUGUUGAUGACUCUA
rnacentral:siRNA from 1 species